UGGGGAAUAUUGGACAAUGGGCGAAAGCCUGAUCCAGCCAUGCCGCGUGAGUGAUGAAGGCCCUAGGGUUGUAAAGCUCUUUUGUGCGGGAAGAUAAUGACGGUACCGCAAGAAUAAGCCCCGGCUAACUUCGUGCCAGCAGCCGCGGUAAUACGAAGGGGGCUAGCGUUGCUCGGAAUCACUGGGUGUAAAGGGUGCGUAGGCGGGUUUCUAAGUCAGAGGUGAAAGCCUGGAGCUCAACUCCAGAACUGCCUUUGAUACUGGAAGUCUUGAGUAUGGGAGAGGUGAGUGGAACUGCGAGUGUAGAGGUGAAAUUCGUAGAUAUUCGCAAGAACACCAGUGGCGAAGGCGGCUCACUGGUCCAUAACUGACGCUGAGGCACGAAAGCGUGGGGAGCAAACA
rnacentral:rRNA from 1 species